AUUGAACGCUGGCGGCAGGCCUAACACAUGCAAGUCGAGCGGAUGAUGUGAGCUUGCUCCUGGAUUCAGCGGCGGACGGGUGAGGAAUGCCUAGGAAUCUGCCUGUUAGUGGGGGAUCACGUCCGGAAACGUGCGCUAAUACCGCAUACGUUCUGAGGGAGAAAUUGGGGGAUCUUCGGACCUCACGCUAUCAGAUGAGCCUAGGUCGGAUGAUCUAGUUGGUGGGGUAAAGGCCUACCAAGGCGACGAUCCGGAACUGGUCUGAGAGGAGGAUAAGUCACACUGGAACUGGGACACGGUCCAGACUCCUACGGGAGGAAGAAGUGGGGAAUAUUGGACAAUGGGGGAAAGCCUGAUCCAGACCGGCCGGGUGUGUGAAGAAGGUCUUCGGAUUGAAAAGUACUUUAAGUUGGGAGGACGGGCAGUAAGGUAAAAAGUUGAUGUUUUGACGUUACCAACAGAAUAAGCACCGGCUAACUUCGUG
rnacentral:rRNA from 1 species